GGGGUGCAGCAGGCGCGAAAACUUUACAAUGCUGGCAACAGCGAUAAGGGGACCUCGAGUGCCAGGAUACAAUCUUGGCUGUCGCGAUGCCUAAAAAGCAUUGCAUAGCAAGGGCCGGGCAAGACCGGUGCCAGCCGCCGCGGUAACACCGGCGGCUCGAGUGGUAACCGCUAUUAUUGGGUCUAAAGGGUCUGUAGCCGGCCGGAUAAGUCUUUUGGGAAAUCCAGUUGCUCAACAGUUGGGCUUUCAGAAGAUACUGUUCGGCUCGAGACCGGGAGAGGUGAGAGGUACUUCAGGGGUAGGGGUGAAAUCUUGUAAUCCUUGAAGGACCACCAGUGGCGAAGGCGUCUCACCAGAACGGAUCUGACGGCAAGGGACGAAAGCUAGGGGCACGAACCGGAUUAGAUACCCGGGUAGUCCUAGCCGUAAACGAUACUCGCUAGGUGUCAGCCACGGUGCGACCGUGGUUGGUGCCGUAGGGAAGCCGUGAAGCGAGCCACCUGGGAAGUACGGCCGCAAGGCGGAAACUUAAAGGAAUUGGCGGGGGAGCACAAGGGCGAUUCGCGG
rnacentral:rRNA from 1 species